rnacentral:rRNA from 1 species
AGUGAACGCUGGCGGUAGGCCUAACACAUGCAAGUCGAACGGCAGCACAGUAAGAGCUUGCUCUUACGGGUGGCGAGUGGCGGACGGGUGAGGAAUACAUCGGAAUCUACUUUUUCGUGGGGGAUAACGUAGGGAAACUUACGCUAAUACCGCAUACGACCUACGGGUGAAAGCAGGGGAUCUUCGGACCUUGCGCGAUUGAAUGAGCCGAUGUCGGAUUAGCUAGUUGGCGGGGUAAAGGCCCACCAAGGCGACGAUCCGUAGCUGGUCUGAGAGGAUGAUAAGCGACCCUGGAACUGAGACACGGUCCAGACUCCUACGAGAGGCAGCAGUGGGGAAUAUUGGACAAUGGGCGCAAGCCUGAUCCAGCCAUAGCGCGUGGGUGAAGAAGGCCUUCGGGUUGUAAAGCCCUUUUGUUGGGAAAGAAAAGCAGCAGGUUAAUACCCCGCUGUUCUGACGGUACCCAAAGAAUAAGCACCGGCUAACUUCGUG